rnacentral:lncRNA from 1 species
CCAUGCUAAUGACUUUCUAGAGUAUCUAAUUGAGGUGCUUAUCAUAUUUAUUAUGUGGCUAGAUCACAUUAGUUAUCCUUGUCACUAUUAUUAUUUCAUAUAUCUUUUAUGUGACAAUUAUCCCUGUAUGAAGAGUUAGAUAUAAUGUUCUCAAUUAUACAUGCAAUGAUAGAUGCUCAAUCUCAUAUUCUAUUCUGUAAUCAAUAGUCAUGACUUCUAAUCCCUUCCUAGUGGUAAAAAUAUAAAUAACGAUACCUGGAAUACUUCCUGAUUAAAAUGCUACAUCGGUAUUAAUCUGUGCGCUUGCAGAUCCCAUUCAUUAUUUAUUUAGAAGAGCAAUUGCAUAUUUCAAUACCGUGUCUCUUAUAUCAUGCUGGGGAUGACAACUUGGCUUAAGUGGUGUGAGGGAUAGGUUUGGCAUUUUUGGCACCGUUACUAAAUUUAGAGAACUUAGUCUACUUUUGGUAAUGAUGUUAAGAAUACCCAACAAGCAUUUUUGGCGCCGUUGCCGGGGAAGGUUGAUUAAUAAUCAAGAAUGGAAUAAAAGAUUUUGUGUUAUCAUUCGCAUCACUAAUGUGAUUGAGCUUAUCUAUUCUCUCAUACAGUUUUACCCUGAUAUUUUUCUAUUUUAUCUUAUGCAGGGGAAUGUAUGAAUAGAAGACAUCUUCCAGGAAAUUUUGUUGACAAUCCCGAAGCAUUAUUCAAGAAGACGAGAGCCAAGCUCAAGAAGAGAUCAUCAACACUUCAGCAAGAAGCUUCAUCCAAUCAAGAAGAUCACCGGAACUUGUCUUCAGAGUUCGAAGCCAUGGCGAACAAAUCAAUCCGCGAGUUCUCAGCUCCCACUACGGACAACAUCCGCACUGGACCUGCUGCAGAGAUCGAUGGCAACUUUGAGCUCAAGCCUGGACUUAUCAACAUGGUGCAAUCCAACCAGUUCUGUGGGAAGGCAUAUGAAGAUGCUAGUGCUCAUUUACAACACUUCCUGGAGAUUUGCAUCACAUUCACCAUAUCAGGAGUUUCCAAAGAUGCUAUACUACUUCGCCUCUUCCCAUUCUCACUGUUAGGAAGAGCGAAGCAGUGGUUCUACGCUACAAAGGAGAAGAAUACUACGUGGGCACUCUGCUCAACAAACUUCCUGGCAAAGUUUUUCCCAUGGGCAAGACCAAUGCUCUCCGUGGGAAGAUUACAAGUUUUCCGCAACAAAAUGAUGAAUCCGUUCCAGAAGCAUGGGAGCGCUUCCAAGACUACAUCCUAGAAUGUCCCCAUCAUGGAAUGGAGAGUUGGCUAUUGAUGCAGACAUUUUAUCAUGGGCUCGGCAACAGUGCCCGAGAAACCAUGGAUGCUGCAGCCGGAGGAGCAUUCUUAUCACUUACCAUACCACAAGCUACAGCUCUUGUGGAGAAGAUGGCGUCCAAUCAAAGCUAGAAUGAAGAGAGGACCCAGACACGCAAGAGAGGUGGAGGUAUGCAUCAGCUGAAGGAGGUAGACAUGCUGUCUGCAAAGCUAGACCUGCUCAUGAAGAAGCUCGACGAUAGAGCUGGAGACAAGAAAGAAGUUAUGCACAACUACGACUCUCACAUGACUUGUGAGGAGUGUGGAGAUACUGGACACUCAGGCAAUCACUGCCCUGAGAUAUUUGAGGAUGUGAACUACAUCAACAACAACAACUACUACUACUACAACCGUCCUCAACAAAAUCAAGGUUGGAAUCAACAGAGGCCUAACUACUCAGGUAAUUAUCAAGGUAACAAUUCCAACAACAACAAUAAUAAUUUUCCACCUUUGAGAGAGUUAGUGUCUAAUCAAGAAAAGCUAAUGGAUAACCUAUCUAAGAAAUUGGCAUCUAAUGAUAAAAUGCUAGAAAAUAUAAAUAAUAGAAUGGAUAAUUUCUCUACUGCCAUCAAGAAUCAAAUUAGCUUUAAUAAAAUGAUUGAAUCUCAGUUAAAUCAAAUAGCUGCUGCUGUUCCUACUAGUAACCCCGGUAUACCAUCACAACCGGAAGGAUUAGAAUCUGCAAAUCUUGUAGACAUGUUUGAUGCAGGUAAUUGGAGUAACCCCAUCACUGAAUUCUCUACUGACCUUCUGCCGGUCAAGAGAGGCGAUCCAGGACGCCUCGUCAUCCCGAUCUCCAUCGGCAUGGUGGACGUUCCAGAAGCACUCUGCGACUUUGGCUCUAGCGUCAACAUUAUACCCAGGGUACUCUAUGAAAAAUUCUUUACAUAUCCUUUAUUAGAGACAUCCAUGUGUUUGCAGUUUGCAGAUCAGACGAUAACUUUUCCAAAGGGAAUAUUGAAGAACCUUUGCGUCCGAGUUGGUACCUUAUAUGCUCUAGCAGACUUCAUAGUGGUAGAGACCGGAAAUGAUGAGAGAGCACCUAUCAUCCUAGGGAGGCCAUUCUUGAACACCACGGGAGCUAUCAUCUACGCCAGUGCUGCCAAGAUCAGUUUCUAUGUCAAAGGGAGGAAGGAGACAUUUUUUUCAAGAACAAGACUACACAAAUUCCAGAUCAAUCCAGACGUAAAUCAAGGAAGAGGACCAACAGGAGGAACAGGAACAAGCAAGUGUGGACCGAGUCACCUACGAUGGUCACUGCAGUUCAUGGAGGCCAAGACAACCAACUUAAGUCACCGCUUUUGACCAAGAAGGACGACCCAGGAAUGUCAAGCAUCUACUGCUCCAUAAAUGGAUACAACUUCUACAAAGCGACUUGUGACACCGGAUCGGGCGUCAACAUAAUGGCCGCAGUCACCUAUCGGCUCUUGUUCGGAACCAUGCCACUAAGACCAACGUACAUUCAACUCCAGAUGGCAGAUCAGACAUUUCGAGAAGUCAAAGGAAUAGAAACUGAUGUCCCAGUCAAAAUAGACGAUCACUUUGUCUACACAGACAUUCAAGUUAUUGACAUGGGAGAAGAUGAAUACGAUCCACCCAUCAUCCUUGGAAGACAGUUCCUCAGCACCAUUAAAGCAAUUAUCUACAUUGGAACCGGAGAAGUCCAUAUGCACUUCCCCUCAGAGAAGGUACGCCGUUAUUUUACUGACCCUAACUAUACCAUUGAAGAAUCUAAGCAGGUAAGAAAGCGACGCAACCGCAACCAGAGGAGGCAGAUCAUCAUGGACGGAUGGGCAGACUACGAAGGAGAAGUUGUAAGGUCAGAAGACGUAGAGUUUAAACAGAAUUAUCCAGAGGAGACUGAAGCACCAAGUCAGGUAUGAAAAAUGAAGAUAACUAUAAAUGAAGAGGAGGCGCUGCCAGAAGUACCGACUACGCCACCCAACGAACCUCAGGAUGAUUAAGAAAAUGGAGAGUCCCGUUCGGAGGACUUAAAAAUACCGAACGCCUUGCCAAGAGGUAAACUUGGUAGUUAUCCUUUCCCUUUCAAUUAUUUUAAAUAGUUUACUUAGUUAAUCAUGUUCAUACUAUCUUAAAAAUAAAAGAAAAUAAAAAUGUAAAAAACAGUAAGCCCCAUGUGAGUAGACGAGUGGCAUAAAACCCAUAAGUACAUUCACUGUGGUGGCAUAAAAAAAAUAAUUAUUUUUCUGCUCUAUAAAAAUAAAAAUAUAAAAAUAGGGAGUAAUAUUUAUUAAGGAGUCUCAACAUGAUAAAGGCUAGAUAUUUAUGCUAACACUUAACCAGUUCCACAAGCUUUGUUGUCUAUUUGAACUCCACAGAAUUUAAGAAUCAAGAAGACUGGCAGACGGAGGACAUUCUAAUCGCUGUCAGAAUGCUGCUGACUUUCAAAUACACCUCUGCCACCUGCUAGCUACAUCAAGGGAAAUUACGUCAAAAUUCAGCUUGGGGGAGAGCACCCCCAUUUAUCUCGAUAAGUAUUUCUAUCUAUCUUUAUACUUAUAUUAUUUUAGAAUAUAAAUACACAUAAACUAUGGAAAACCAAAUAAAGAGUUUGUGCUUAUAUAUAUAUAUGUCUUUUGCUUAGUGUGUUUAAUAAAUAAAUAAAGUGGCUAUGCUAAUCUGUAUCUGAAUAAAACUUAAGCAUGGAUAUGAUGAAUAGUUGCUCUGCCUAAUUUGCAUAUUUUAAGUUCUCUCUCAAGUUUAGACAUAACUGUUAUAAUUUAAAGCUUGCUCUAGACCUAAACUUGUGGGAUGAAAACUUGAUCUGAAGUCUAAGUUGUUAACGGAUACGAUAUGGGAAGGUUGAGCUGCUGUUUAUCUGUUCCUAGAGAUGCUAGAAUUCUGGAGAAUUUUAUCUUUGAAAAUCUUUAUAAUGUUGCAUGAUGAGUUCCUGUAUGAUGAGAGUUUAAAUUCCUACCACAGCCAUAUAUACAUGCUUGCUAGACUUGGAGCCACACAUUUAAUAUUUACUACUUAUGAGCAUUGAGUGUGGUCAAGGUGUGUAGACCCUUAGGAGCUUGUCAUGUGGUUAAAUCAAGAUUCACUUGCACGUUCACUCAUAUAUGCUACUUCUACUCCGGAAGUACCAUCCACAUAUAUCCAUCCAUUUCCAUCUCCAGAAUCACCCAAAAAUAUUCUACUCCUAAUUUGGGAGAGAAUAACCAAAAAUAUUCCUGUUUUUCCCUUGUGAAAUAAAUGCUCAAGUUAUCUUGUUACUACCACUUGCUAUAUUAUCUCAAGAGAUGAGUGCUUAUAAAAAAAAGAGAGAAAAAAAAUAAUACGAGGAAAUAAAAAUGAGCAAGUGCUCGGAACCUCGAAAGAAAGAAAAAGUGAGACGAGAGGUAAAAAUGGACAAGUGUCCGACAGUAGAAUUAGGGGUACAAGAUACCCACCUGAGAGAAAAGAAAAGAAAAAGAAGAGCAUCUCAAUCUCCUCAUAAAGUUUCAAAAGCAAGGAAGGUAUGUAUUCCCUCAAAGAGCAAAGUAGAAUUAGACUUCCACCAUACACCAUUCAUUCGCCACACAUGCACAUCUUGAUUUGGCUUAUUGAUUUGUUUCUUUGGAUCCAUGGUUUGACUAUACAAUAAAUGCCUUGUAAGUAUGUAUACUUUAUCUCCCACCUAUGAGCUCCAGAUAUUAAAGCCUUAUUAGAGUAGGGUGAGAGAGAAGACAAUGUCAUUAUGCUUUAUAUCAUAAAUACCACAUAUCUUGAGAGAAGGCAUAUACCAUCACUGCCUUGGUAAGGAUCCAGAAAUAUCACAAAAGAGAGAUCUAAGAGAGUCAUAUAAGGAAUCUUUGAGUUUUAUUUGAAAAUCUGCAAAAACCCCAGAGCUUUAGCUGAUCAAGAAUAAGAGACAUGGCACUUGGCUAGACUGUUCUAUCUUUUAACCACUCAAGACAGAAGUGACAGUUACAAGUCCCAUGGUGAAGGUAAAGUAAGUAAGUUUUAAGUCUUGACAGUUUACUCUAACUCAGAGAUAAGAUCUUAUUUAAAAAGCAUGUGUACCGUCAAUUUUUAAAAAUAUUGCAACACUUAUGAUCCAUAGCUGAGUCUAUCCUUGCUCAGGGACGAGCAAGAGGUAAGCUUGGGGGAGUUUGUUGACGGUCCUUAAGUAUCAAAUUUAAUUAUCAAAUAAAUAAAGAAAAUGAUCCAAAUGAAAUCAAAAUCUAGACUUUAGGGUUUUAUCUGACAGAAUUCCACGAGUUUUGGUGUUUGUCUAUUUCUGCAGGGGGUUAUCAGGAAAUACGGAAGAAAGGCCCACACGUCGGGAUUACAUAGAGAUAUUAACGUGCCGCGCAAUUAUCUUACAUCUAGAAGACUCCAGAAGCCACGAGACUGAAGCGGAGGCGGAACGGGGCCAGAGGCAGGGCGCCCGCCCUCCUGUCCUGGGCGCCCGCCCCCUCCCUGAGUCCAAUCAGGACUCUGCUUCGUGGGAGAUUUCCACCGACCUAAAGGAUGAAUCUAAACCAUACAAUCUAUGUCGGUUUGAUCCAAUGGCCCAUAUUCACUUGAAGGGACUAUAAAACCAGACCCCUUGGGCCCUGGAGGAGGGAGCCUCUCAACCCUAAUUCAUUAUUCUCAAGGGAGAAGAAGCCUCUGAUCAAGAUUAGAGCCACCACAUCAAUUAGAUAUCUAGAUUAGCAUAGCUACAUAGGAUUAGAACUAGAAGGAGUCAAUCUUCGAUUGGUUUCCGGAUCUGUCAGGAGGAUUCUUGGUAAUUCUCUAAUUGUGCUUCUAAUUACUUUCUAAUUAUCUUUGUUCUUCAAUAUUAUGAAUAUGACUUUGUUCUACUUCAAUAUAUUGCUUAUGACUUUGCUCUACUUGCUUAUAUUCAAGAUUAUAUUGUUCUUAGUAUAUCAUAGUUAUGUACUUGGCUUAGUUAGAUUCAAUCUAUAUACAUGCUUAGGAUCGUAUAGCGUUUAUCCAUCGGAUCCAUGGGUAAAUGAUAGAUAUUGUGUAGGUGUGGUGCUUAUACCGUAUUUAUCUGCGAUUGUACCCAAUAUGCCAGAUCGUGGGGUGGUUCGUGAUAGUGACAGCUUCAUUGAUUCUUAUAUAGUCCCCCUCUCGUGUAUUGGGCUGGCAGAGCAACAUUAUUACAAGGGAGUGAUUGCUAUAUUUCUCAUAUUCCUUGCUAAUAUCACUAUGCAUGGGCGUAGUCUUGUCUCACAAUGAUUGCUAAGUAUGCUUGCACUAAUUAUGAUAAUGCUAGACUAUAUAGUUGAGAAUAACUUAGGGAAUAUUCUUGUAGUUCGUUCUAAUACCAUGCUAAUGACUUUCUAGAGUAUCUAAUUGAGGUGCUUAUCAUAUUUAUUAUGUGGCUAGAUCAGAUUAGUUGUCCUUGUCACUAUUAUUAUUUCAUAUAUCUUUUAUGUGACAAUUAUCCCUGUAUGAAGAGUUAGAUAUAAUGUUCUCAAUUAUACAUGCAAUGAUAGAUGCUCAAUCUCAUAUUCUAUUCUGUAAUCAAUAGUGAUGAUUGCUAAUCCCUUCCCAGUGGUAAAAAUAUAAAUAACGAUACCUGGAAUACUUCCCGAUUAAAAUGCUACAUCGGUAUUAAUCUGUGCGCUUGCAGAUCCCAUUCAUUAUCUCUACAACUAAAAAUUAUGAAGAAGACCCAUCUAGCACAUCCAUGGUGAAGCCACAACUCCCUUUUUACUAUGCCAUGAUAGGCUAUCUCAUCAACUCAGGCACCACUCACCCAUGCAUGUAAAAUUGUUUUAUCGAAUUAAAAAAAGGCAUAACUCUUAAACUGAGGAUAUAAAUUAAAUUUCGAUUGCACCAUUAAAUUUCUUAUAACAAAUCCUUUUAAACAAGAUCACACAUGGAUAUAUUUAGAUAAAAUUUUAUUAAUGAAUAUUUAUCUCUACAACUAAAAAUUAUGAAGAGGACCGGUCCACAACUCUCAUUUCUUUAGUGGUCUUUUUUACUGUGCGAUGACACGCUAUCCCAUCAAUCUAGGCCCCACUCACCUAUGCAUGUAAAAUUAUUUUAGCGAAUUAAAAAAGUCAUAACUCAUAAACCAAAGAUAUAAAUUAAAUUCCGAUUGCACCAUUAAAUUUCUUAUAACAAAUCCUUUAAAACAAGAUCACACAUGGAUAUAUUCAGAUAAAAUUUUAUUAAUGAAUAUUUAUCUCUACAACUAAAAAUUAUGAAGAGGACCCGUCCACAACUCUCAUUCCUUUAGUGGUCUUUUUUACUGCGUGAUGACACGCUAUCCCAUCAACCUAGACCCUACUCACCUAUGCAUGCAAAAUUGUUUUAGCGAAUUAAAAAAAGUCAUAACUCAUAAACAAAGAUAUAAAUUAAAUUCCGAUUGCACCAUUAAAUUUCUUAUAACAAAUCCUUUAAAACAAGAUCACACAUGGAUAUAUUUAGAUAAAAUUUUAUUAAUGAAUAUUUAUCUUAUAAAGAUAAAAAUAAAUAUUUUCUUUUGUUAAGUAGAGACAAUAUUCUAGGUUCAACAAAGUAAAAAAUGUAAUCGAUUUAGAAGAAUAGUAUUUUGGUUUUAGAUUUAUGAAACUAUUAUUACAAUAUACAUAAAAAUACAUAAAUACAUAACAUAGAUAAAAAUAAUAAUAAAAUCUAGAGUAAAAAGCAUAAGAAAAAAUAAAAACAAAAUAGAGAAAAAUUUCAAAUAAUAUCAAAAGGUUACUUUUCAAAUAUCGUAAAUAUAUUUAUAGAACAUUAACAUCACUAAAUACAUCAUAGAACAUCAUUAAAUAUAUUAUAGAACAUCACAUCUAUUAUAGAUUAUAUGUAUACUAAGUGAACACCAUAAGAAACAUCAUGGAACAUCAUAUGUAUACUACGUAAACAUGACAUAACACAACAUAGAACACUAAAUAUAUAAUACAUAAACAUCACAUAUAUAUAGAAAAUAAAAAUAAAAAAUAAAAUUACUAAGAAGAAAAAUAAAAAAACAAACAUGAUUAAAAAAUGAUAAAAAUGCAUAGAGCCAAUAAAAUAAAUAAAUAAUUUAAAUAAGGAUAAAAAUAAGAUUAAAAGAAAUUAAAAUAUAAAAUAAGAAUGAAGAAACAUAGAAAACCUAAAAAAAAGAAAAACAAAUAGAAGCAAGGAAGAACAAUAAAACUAAAACCAAAAGAAAAAGAAAAUAAAAGGUAAAAUUAAAACAAGAAAAGAAUAAGGAAAGGAUAGGAAAUAAAAUAAAAUUGAAAAACUAAAACUGAAAAGAAAUGAAAAAGGAAGAAUAUAGACAGAAAAAAUAAAAUAACAAUGAAGAAACAUAGAGUAUGUGGAUUUUAAAAUCCGUAACAACGUACGGGCAUUAACCUAGUUUAUUUAGAAGAGCAAUUGCAUAUUUCAAUAGCGCGUCUCUUAUAUCAUGCUGGGGAUGACAACUUGUCUUAAGUGGUGUGAGGGAUAGGUUUGGCAUUUUUGGCACCGUUACUAAAUUUAGAGAACUUAGUCUACUUUUGGUAAUGAUGUUAAGAAUACCCAACACCUGCAUCAAACAUGUCUACAAGAUUUGCAGAUUCUAAUCCUUCCGGUUGUGAUGGUAUACCGGGGUUAGUAGCAGGAACAGCAGCAGCUAUUUGAUUUAACUGGGAUUCAAUCAUUUUAUUAAAGCUAAUUUGAUUCUUGAUGGCAGUAGAAAAAUUAUCCAUUCUAUUAUUUAUAUUUUCUAGCAUUUUAUCAUUAGAUGCCAAUUUCUUAGAUAGGUCAUCCAUUAGCUUUCCUUGAUUAGACACUAACUCUCUCAGAGGUGGAAAAUUAUUAUUAUUGUUGUAAGAACUGUUACCUUGAUAAUUACCUGAGUAGUUAGGCCUCUGUUGAUUCCAACCUUGAUUUUGUUGAGGACGGUUGUAGUAAUUGUUGUUGUUAUUGUUGAUGUAGUUCACAUCCUCAAGUAUCUCAGGGCAGUGAUUGCCUGAGUGUCCAGUGUCUCCACACUCCUCACAAGUCAUGUGAGAGUCAUAGAUGUGCAUAACUUCUUUCUUGUCUCCAGCUCUAUCGUUGAGCUUCUUCAUGAGCAGGUCUAGCUUUGCAGACAACAUGUCUACC